AUGUGUUCAACAACCUUAAUUAAGCAAGAGAUUGGCUGUAACAAAAACCAGCAUGUGCCAGGGUCCCCAGGGCUGAGAUUGGGAACAACUGCAUUAGUUCCUUAAAGGUGUUACUGGAGAUAUUCUGUAAAGUUUUGUGCCUAUCUUUCUGACAGGUACAGCAAAUGUUGAACCUUAGACUUACACCUAAUAUUCAGAGGUGGAAAAUCCAGAAAGUAUAGUCCUAUCCAGCAUCUUGUUCCAACCACCUGGAUUUGCUAAUUAGCAGAAUUUGUCAGCCAGAAUAGUCUGGAGACAUGGUUCAACUAGAAGAAAACUUCGCUGGAUUUUUUUGUUCUGGGGCUGUGUCUGUUUCUUCUUGACUUUCUUUGUUCCUAUUUUAAUGAAGUCAUGGCUUAGAUUUUCAUUCAAAUGCAGAAGUGCUUUCUGCAGGAGUUCAAAAAUAUCUGUUCAGUCAAUCAAAAAAAAAAAAAAAAAACUUUUGAGACACACAAAAUAUAAUGUAAUAAAAUGUUUGGCAGCAUGUGCAGCAAAGUAUUAUUUUCUAGAGUGUUAUUUUGGCCUAGUUGCUUUUUUAUUUCAGCCUUAAACAGAAGCUUCAUGAAUGAAAUCAAUGAAACAAUUAUUCAGCAAUUACAUAAUUGUAUCAGUAACAAGGAAGUUGUAUGAGUGCUCAUUCUGAAUGCAUGUUUAUAUGUUGUUGCAAAUGAACUUGAUUGACAUCUGUAUCAGGAAAAAACAUGAAUAUCUGUUGUUGCUAUUUAGUAAUUGCAGCGGUAGCAAUAGUAGGCUCAGUUUUGUUAGGUGCGUUAUUGGCAUGGUAGCAGUGCUAACACUAUAAGUCAUGCUAAUACUCUUGCAGUACCUGGAGUAGCAGCAAUCGUAGUAGAGGCAGCCACAGCAGUAGUAGUGUAGCUACUGUAGUAUUGGUAGCAGUAGUAUUAGCAGUAGGAGCAUUUGUAAUAAAUGUAAUAAAGUAGUUUUAGUCUCCACAGCAAAAACAGUACCUUUAGCUAUAGCGAUACUAUUGGUUAUCCUUGUUGGAGUGCUGUUGCAGUUGACCUUUGGAUGUGUAGUUUCUCAAAAUGAAUGUUUUGCGAAACAGACAUUUAAAAACAUACAUUUGGCAUCCUGUAGAGCAACAGACUAUUUUCUAAUUCAAGUGUUUUUCUUUUAUUAUUUUUUUAAAUUGUUCUGUUGGAUGGCCAUCUGCAUUUCAGUCUUAAAUAAAUACAUAGCCGCCAUAAAACAAUUGUAUUGCCAUCAAAAAUCAAUGAGCAGUCAUGUCAAUCUAUCAAUGACUAAGCAGUAUGCUUAACAUCUAACAAAAUUCAGAACUUGAAGAAUUUAUUAGUGUUCAUCUGGCUGGUUUUGAUUUUUAUGAUCUGGGUAUGAAUUGUACUGUUUGUAAUACAUCAUUGAGUAAUGUGAAAAAUGACUCACUUUUCCCAGCCAUUGAAAGUGGCAAAAAAAAUAAAUAUUUUUUUUAUUUUUUAAAAUUUGCAAUCCCCAUCUGUGCUUCUAGUUAAAACAGUGCCUGGGCAUGACACCAAGGCAAAUACGGCUGCUAUGGUUUCAUGGUCUGUGUCUGCGUUUUUUUUCUUCUUAAAUUUCAGAUUAAAUAGCUAUUAAAGGCAUGUUUUAUAACCACUUUUAUGUGAUCGUGUAAUUACAGUAACUAGUGAUUCUCGGAAGCAAUUGAACCGGUCCAUUUUGUUUUGUUAUCAAGAAAAUGUUGAGCA